GAUGAACGCUGGCGGCGUGCCUAAUACAUGCGAGUCGAGCGAACGGACGAGAAGCUUGUUUCUCUGAUGUUAGCGGCGGACGGGUGAGUAACACGUGGAUAACCUACCUAUAAGACUGGGAUAACUUCGGGAAACCGGAGCUAAUACCGGAUAAUAUUUUGAACCGCAUGGUUCAAAAGUGAAAGACGGUCUUGCUGUCACUUAUAGAUGGAUCCGCGCUGCAUUAGCUAGUUGGUAAGGUAACGGCUUACCAAGGCAACGAUGCAUAGCCGACCUGAGAGGGUGAUCGGCCACACUGGAACUGAGACACGGUCCAGACUCCUACGGGAGGCAGCAGUAGGGAAUCUUCCGCAAUGGGCGAAAGCCUGACGGAGCAACGCCGCGUGAGUGAUGAAGGUCUUCGGAUCGUAAAACUCUGUUAUUAGGGAAGAACAUAUGUGUAAGUAACUGUGCACAUCUUGACGGUACCUAAUCAGAAAGCCACGGCUAACUACGUG
rnacentral:rRNA from 1 species